UAAAUAGUCUUUGUUUCUGUUGCUUAGGU
rnacentral:piRNA from 1 species